rnacentral:rRNA from 1 species
UACGUAGGGUGCGAGCGUUGUCCGGAAUUAUUGGGCGUAAAGGGCUCGUAGGCGGUUUGUCGCGUCGGGAGUGAAAAUCCAGGGCUUAACUCUGGACUGGCUUCCGAUACGGGCAGACUAGAGGUAUGCAGGGGAGAACGGAAUUCCUGGUGUAGCGGUGAAAUGCGCAGAUAUCAGGAGGAACACCGGUGGCGAAGGCGGGUCUCUGGGCAGUAACUGACGCUGAGGAGCGAAAGCGUGGGGAGCGAACAGG